rnacentral:rRNA from 1 species
GUAGGGAAUUUUGGACAAUGGGCGAAAGCCUGAUCCAGCCAUGCCGCGUGCAGGAUGAAGGCCUUCGGGUUGUAAACUGCUUUUGUACGGAACGAAAAGACUCCUUCUAAUAAAGGGGGUCCAUGACGGUACCGUAAGAAUAAGCACCGGCUAACUACGUGCCAGCAGCCGCGGUAAUACGUAGGGUGCAAGCGUUAAUCGGAAUUACUGGGCGUAAAGCGUGCGCAGGCGGUUAUAUAAGACAGAUGUGAAAUCCCCGGGCUCAACCUGGGAACUGCAUUUGUGACUGUAUAGCUAGAGUACGGUAGAGGGGGGUGGAAUUCCGCGUGUAGCAGUGAAAUGCGUAGAUAUGCGGAGGAACACCGAUGGCGAAGGCAAUCCCCUGGACCUGUACUGACGCUCAUGCACGAAAGCGUGGGGAGCAAACAGGAUUAGAAACCCGGGUAGUCC